AAAAAAAGUGCCUAAAAAAAAAACACCCAAAUGAUUAGGUUAGAAAUUAAAAUCAGAAUAUGCAUUAUUUAUAAGAUUAUUUACUGGGUGUUACUGAGAAUUUAUUUACCAGUACGUUACUAAAAAAUUUAGUUUUAAAAAUAUUCUAGAAAUAUUUACUGGUUAUAACAUACUCUUAUUUGAGAACUCAAUAAUAAUUUGUAAGUACUCUUAAUUAGGUAGAAACUAUGAGUAGACUUGGAUACAAUGUCUGGUUCCCUGGGACCUUUCACUUAAGCAUAGACAUUUCAUUUAACUAUUCUGUAAUUUAAUUCUUUAUGCUUCAGCUUAAUACAUAGUAGAGGGAUAACUCCUACUAAAAGAGAGUUUUUACAGGACCUAAGGACAGGGCUAGUGCUCCUUAUAAUGACAUCCGAGUGAAUUAGGAAAAGCCACCAUUUGUGGGCAAACAUAGUCCCACAGGCUGAAUCUGAAUUUCAGUUUCAGGCCAGUCUGCAAUCUCUUAGGCGGCACAAAUUGUAUACUCAGUGGCCUCUGGGUUUUACGGACAAGAAAUACUUGCAUGUGCUGAUUAGUCAGAAAGUAUAAAUACUGAGAUUUAAUUAUUCUCAAGUGGUGCUUUUGGCAUUUUGGGCAGGAUGGUUCUUUAUUGUGUGGGGCUGUCACUUAUAUUACAGCUCUUUCCCCUAACAAAUGCCUCUCGUACACUGCUCCCCUUGUUUUUGUUACAGCACCUCCACACAUUGACAAAAGCCUUUGGGGGCAGUAGGAAACCCUACCCCCAAGUUGAGAACCACUCACCUGGGGUGCCCUUCCUCUAAAGGCUCUCGUGAGAGCCAGCUGAAUUGCAUACCUGCACAUGGUUCAUUGAAAGAUUAUGUGAAAGGAAAUAAAAGUGAGGUUGUCUGAGUAAAGAAAAGCUCUUUUGUUCCAAUGUGAAUUAUAAUACCAAAGCAUUCUCAGAUUAAAAAAAAAAAAAGGGUGAGGUGGAAUGACAGCAGCAAGAUGGCAGAAUAGGAAGUUCUAGCCCCUCCUUCCUCCUGUGAAGACACUGAUUCAGCAACACAUGGACAAAUUCCCUUUGUGAGAAAUCUGGAAACCAGUUAAGAGGAUCCUGCACCCCCGGUGAGCAUGAAACUAACCACAUCAAAGCCGGUAUAAAAAUUUGUGUCACUAUCUGGCCAUCCUCUGUCCCACACAGCACCACAUGAUUGGGAAGAAAUUUCCCAGCCUCUAGCUUCUCCCUGGAGAGGGAAAGAGAAAAUUGGACUAUACAUCCAGAGUUCUGACUUUUCAGGGGAGCUGCCCAAGGGACUGGCUUCUGUCUCUUCUGUCUCAGAGUACAGAUGGAACCCUGCAUACUCUAGAUGCCUGGAGCCACUGAUAACAAAAGAGAGCUGGGUAGCACGCUACUGCUUCAAAGGACCUGUGGUACAGCAGACAUCUAGACACGAGAGACAGCAAAGGAGUCCAAGCUUCUGAAAAAAAUGAAACCAAUAAAUUUCUCUAAUUAGGAAUCUACAUGCAUAAGUCCAGAGAAGACACUUCCAUAGAAAAGGUUUGAGAGGCCUCCAGCAUCUCUAGCCAGGCUGAUUAAUGAAGGUCUCUUUCUCUGUAUGAAGCCAGUCCUUAGAGACUGGAGAGGUAAUUGUUUUUGUUGUUGUUGUUGUUGUUUUUAAUGUGUGGAUAUUAGCACAAAAUUAGAGGGAGCACAAAGAAUCAGAGAAAAAUAGUCCAAUCAGAGGUACAAAAUAAAUUUUCAGAAACCAACCCUAAAGAAAAGGGGCUAUAUUAAUUACCUGACAAGGAAUUCAAAACUAUUGUCAUAAAGAUGCUUAAUGAGCUCAGGAAAAUUAUGCAUGAAGAAAAUGAGAAUUUUAACAAAGAGAAUAUUAACAAAGAGAAAAUAUAAAGAAGAACUGAACAGAAAUUUUGGAGAAGAAUGUAGUAACUUAACUAAAAAGUUCACUAGAGGAGUUCAGCACAGACUAUAAAUCAGAAGAAAAAAUCAGCAAACUGGAACACAGGUCUUUUGAAAUUAUCCAGUCAGGGGAGCUAAGAGAAAAAAGAAUGAAAAAGAGUUAAGAAAGCCUAAAGUACUAAUGACACACCGUCAAGUGGACCAAAUACAUAAUAUGCGAGUCCAAGAAAGAGAAGAGAGAGAGAAAGAAACAGAAAGUGUAUUUAAAGAGAUAAUGGCCCCAAACUUGCCAAAACAGAGGAAGGAGAUGGACAUCCAGAUUUAAGAAGUCUUCCACAUAGGAGGACUUCAGAGAUGUCCUUACCAAGACACAUGAUAAUCAGAUUAUCAGAAGUAAGAGUUAAUUUUGAAAGCAGCAAGAGAAAAGUGUCUGGUCACAGAAGAAAGCCCCCACAAAAUGAUCAGAUUUUUCACCAGAAAGCUUGCAGGUCAGAAAAUUGGAUGAUAAAUUCAGAAUGGUAAAAACAAAACCAAAUAAAACAAACAAAUAAAAAUGCCUGCCAACAAAGAACACUGUAUCUGGCAAAUUGUCCUUGAAAAAAAUGGAGAGAUAAGGACUUUCCCAGAUAAACAAAAGCUCAGAGUUUACCACCAUUAGAUCUGCUUUAUAGGAAAUGCUAAAGUGAGUCCUUCAAUUUGAAACAAAAAGAUACUAAACACCAACAUGAAAGUGUAGGAAUUAUAAAUCUUGCUGAUAAAGGCAAAUACAGAAUACUGUAGUGCUGUAAUGGUGGUGUGUAAAUCAGUUUAAUUCUGGUAUACAAAUUAAAAGACAAAAGUAUAAAAACCCCAUAACUAGAAAUCUGUGUUAAUGAAUACACAAUAUAAAUGGAUGUAAUUUGAGAUAUCAUUAACAUAAAAGGAGACAGGUAUCUGAAGGAAUAGUUUUUGUAUGUGACUGAAGUUAAGUUGUUAACAGAUUAAAAGAGAUUAUUAUAACUGUAAGAUGUUUUAUAUAAGACCCAUGGUAACCACAGAGAAAAUACCUAUAGAAGAUACACUAAAGAAGAGUUUUUCCAAUAUUAUCAUGUAGAAUUUUUAUGGUUUCAGGUUUUAGGUUUAAGUCUUUGAUCCAUCUUGUGUUGAUUUUUGUAUAAAGUAAGAGAUAAGGAUCCAGUUUCAUUCUUCUACAUGUGGCUUGCCAGUUUUCCUAGCACCAUUUAUUGAAUAGGGUGUCCUUUCCCCACUGUAUGUUUUUGUAUGCUUUGUCAAAGAUCAGUUGGCUAUAAGUAUUUGGCUUUAUUUCUGGGUUGUCUGUUCUGUUCCAUUGGUCUAUGUACCUGUUGUUAUACUAGCCCCAUGCUAUUUUGGUAACUAUAGCAUUGUAGUAUAUUUUGAAGUUGAAUAAUGUGAUGCCCCCAGAUUUGUUCUUUUUGCUUAGUACUGCUUUGGCUAUUUGGGCUCUUUUUUGGUGCCAUAUGGAUUUUAGGAUUGUUUCUGAUUGACAAAGGUAUUUUGAUGGGAGUUCUGUGAAGAGUGAUGGUGGUAUCUUGAUAAGAACUGCAUUGAAUCUGUAGCUUGCUUUAGGCAGUAUGGUCAUUUUCACAAUAUUGAUUCUACCCAUCCAUGAGCAUGGGAUAUGUUUCCAUUUGUUUGUGUCAUCUAUGAUUUCUUUCAAUAGUGUUUUAUAGUUUUUCUUGUAGAGCUAUUUUACCUCCUUGGUUAAGUAUAACCAUAAGUAUUUUAUUUUAUUUUUUUUGCAGCUGUUAUAAAAGGAAUGGAAUUGUUGAUUUGAUUCUUAGCUUGGCCGUUGUUGGUGUAUAGCAGUGCUACUGAUUUGUGUACAUUGAUUUUCUAUCUGGAGAAUUUACUGAAUUCAUUUAUUAGAUCUAAGAGCUUUUUGGAUGAGUCUUUAGAGUUUUCUAGGUAAAUGGUCAUAUCAUUGGUGGACAGUGACAGUUUGACCUCCUUUUUUCCAAUUUGGAUGCCCUUUCUUUUCUGUCUGAUUGCUGUGGCUAGGACUUCCAUUACUAUGUUGAAUAGAAGUGGUGAAAGUGGGUAACCUUGUCUUGUUCCAGUUUUCAGGGGCGUAGGCAAAGAAUUCAUGACUAAGAACCCAAAAGCAAAUGCAACAAAAACAAAAAUAAAUAAACGGGACCUAAUUAAACUAAAAAGCUUCUGCACAGCAAAAGAAAUAACCAGCAGAGUAAACAGACAACCCACAGAGUGGGAGAAAAUUUUCGCAAACCACACAUCCGGCAAAGGACUAACAUCCAGAAUCUACGAGGAACCUCAAACAAAUCAGCAAGCAAAAAACAAAUAAUCCCAUCAAGAAGUAGGCAAAGAACAUGAAUAGACAAUUCUCAAAAGAAGACAUACAAACAACUAGCAAACAUAUGAAAAAAUGCUCACCAUUAUUAAUUAUCAAGGACAUGCAAAUUAAAACCACAAUGAGGUAUCACCUUACUUAGUGAGAAUGGCCAUAAUUAAAAAGUCAAAAAAUAAUAGACGUUGGCAUGGAUUUGGUGAAAAGGGAGCACUUUUACACUGCUGGUAGGAAUGUAAACUAAUACAACCACUGUAGAAACAGUAUAGAGAUUCCUUAAAGAAUUAAAAGUAGAACUACCUUUCAAUCCAGCAAUCCCACUGUCAGGUAUCUACCCAAAGAAAAAGAAGCCAUUAUGUGAACAAGACACAUGCACACACAUAGUUAUAGUAACACAAUUUGCAAUUGCAAAAAU
rnacentral:lncRNA from 10 species